AUUGAACGCUGGCGGCAUGCCUUACACAUGCAAGUCGAACGGUAACAGGUCUUCGGAUGCUGACGAGUGGCGAACGGGUGAGUAAUACAUCGGAACGUGCCUAGUAGGGGGGGAUAACUACUCGAAAGAGUGGCUAAUACCGCAUGAGAUCUACGGAUGAAAGCAGGGGAUCGCAAGACCUUGUGCUACUAGAGCGGCCGAUGGCAGAGUCGGUAGUUGGUGGGAUAAAAGCUUACCAAGCCGACGAUCUGUAGCUGGUCUGAGAGGACGAUCAGCCACACUGGGACUGAGACACGGCCCAGACUCCUACGGGAGGCAGCAGUGGGGAAUUUUGGACAAUGGGCGCAAGCCUGAUCCAGCAAUGCCGCGUGCAGGAUGAAGGCCUUCGGGUUGUAAACUGCUUUUGUACGGAACGAAAAGCCCUGGGUUAAUACCCUGGGGUCAUGACGGUACCGUAAGAAUAAGCACCGGCUAACUACGUGCCAGCCGCCGCCGUAAUAC
rnacentral:rRNA from 1 species